AUUUUCUCUUCUUUCAACAUUAUCAACCGCCUCUUUCUCUCUCUAUUCUUUUCCUUCACUGCUUCACACCGAAACCCUAGCCUCCGUGUUCCUUUGGCUUGAAGCUUCUACAUCUCAUUUUCUAUGAAAACAUACGCUUGUGCUUGAAUCGACUGAUAAAGGAAACACGCUUUGCCCUUUCCAAUUCCUGCUCUCAAACCCUACUGUCCGAAUACACAUCUUCCCCUUCACGUUUCCUGCCGAUCAAUCGAUUUAUCAAUCCUAUAAUAUACUAAUCUCAUCAAUGUUGAAAGCCAUCAUCAAUUUGGUGUAGAUGGGUAUUCAAGAAAAUAAAGGCAUAAGUGGGAGUUUGGGUUCGUUUCUUACUCGCAGAUGCUUUGGUUGUCUUAUGAGGGGCUACUUAGAAGGUUUUGGUGUGUGCUGCCUCCUUUAGAAGAAGAGGAUGUUCCUCAACUAUACCCAAAAGGGCCAAAUCUUGGUGAGUGAGCUUGAGAAACAGUUGAAAAUGGAGAUAAAAUCAAGAAACAGAGCCAGAGCCGAAAAGAUCUGGUAAAAGACAUAAUUUCUCUUUAGAUGAUGGUAAUUUAGGGUCUUUUGAUGAGGAUAUUUUUGGGUAGUCUAAUGAGAAUAAGAGUCAGAAAGAAAGAUGGAGCUGAAGAUCUUUUAAAAAAGAAGAUGACAAUGGCUAGAUUUUAUGUAUUUUGGUUCCAGCGGAAUGAAAUGGUCAAGACCGGGUUCUCCGGGUUCGGAGGAACCCGACUUUGUAGUGGGGCUACUUCAACUUAAAAGAUGAAACAAGGGUUACUAAAUAAAGUUCAAUAAGCAAUCCCAAACACCCCUCUAAAAGUAACUUAUUUAGUUAAUGCUUAAAAGUCAAAUGUGGUCAUGAUUUGUUCUUUUGAUGUUUUCUUUUCUUAUAUGCUCAGGCAUGAUUUUACUUUCAACAACUUAUAUCAUGAGUUAGUUACUGUCAUUCAAUGUUAUACAAUCUUUUCGUUCAGUUUACCAUUCUACCAUUUCUUUGUUCAUAACAAUAUCGCCUCUAGCUCUAUUCUUCACCGAUUAUUGUGUUGCAGGACAUUUGUCACGGAUAUCUUAAGCUUGAAAAUACACUGUUGGAAGUGCAGCUCCUCGUGUUAAAAAUACUUAAAAUAUGUGAUUUUGGGUAUUCAAAGUGCAUGUUAUGUGACACUGGACUGGUCCACAAGGUGUGCCAAACGUUUAGAUAUAAGGCUAUAGGGUGUGCAUGACCAUCAUAACCCUCCACAUAGUUUGAUCACAAAUGUUGCAGCCGCUCCUCUCACCGAUCGACCUGAUCACAAGUGCAGGAUUCCGGCGACAUUCGAUUAGGAUUCCGGUUAGGUCAAUUUGAAUUCAGCGAGUGGUUGCAAUUGAUAAGAUUUGAUUAGCAUGGAACAUCGAAAGGAUGAGGUUGUUGAGAGGAUCAACUUUAGAUCAUAAAAUGAUGCACUCAUAGCUGCGACUUCAAGAUGGAAAGGUUGAACAUGAUCAUACAAGAGAUGGUGAAAGAAAAAGAAGAGAAAGAAAGGUUGAACGGAAGGAUGACAAAUGUUGAACGAUGCUAAAAAUUAGGUAUCAAAACGUCUAAUCAUCGAGUUGGUUAUAAGCACUUUAUUUUGGAUAUGUAUUUUGUUCGGAGAACUCAUGUAUUUAAUUUGAUGUUUUAAGUGGAAUGCUUUAUAUAAUUUUGAAAAUUCUAGAAA